rnacentral:rRNA from 1 species
CCUACGGGUGGCAGCAGUGGGGAAUAUUGGGCAAUGGGCGCAAGCCUGACCCAGCAACGCCGCGUGAAGGAAGAAGGCUUUCGGGUUGUAAACUUCUUUUCUCAGGGACGAAGCAAGUGACGGUACCUGAGGAAUAAGCCACGGCUAACUACGUGCCAGCAGCCGCGGGAAUACGUAGGUGGCAAGCGUUAUACGGAUUUACUGGGUGUAAAGGGCGUGUAGGCGGGAAAGCAAGUCAGAUGUGAAAACCACGGGCUCAACCCGUGGCCUGCGUUUGAAACUGUUUUACUAGAGUACUGGAGAGGCAAGCGGAAUUCCUAGUGUAGCGGUGAAAUGCGUAGAUAUAAGGAGGAACACCAGUGGCGAAGGCGGUCUGCUGGACAGCAACUGACGCUGAGGCGCGAAAGCGUGGGGAGCAAACAGGAUUAGAUACCCUUGUAGUC